UUUUCAUUCAUGCUUCAGACACUGGCUACGAUGACAGCGUUCCCAUAGCGCCCUCUAGAAGACGCAGCGUGGAGUUCCCUUUCGAAAGGGAACAUCAUUCAGCUGUGGAUGGGACACUAACCAUGUUCAUAACUUUGAGAAGUAUGUUAUACCUUAAAUUAUAUAUAUUUUUUAUUAAAAAGUACAAUAUAUGUUUAAUAUUACUUUGAUUUUACAGAACAUUGGCACUACUGAAGAAGGGCUGAUUGGUUGACAUUGUAAUACAGGAUCAAGAAGUCUUGACAGAGAGGAUAAUUGAAAGAAUAUACACAGUAACACAGCUGCCUAGGGUUUCCCUGGACAACACAACUUACGUUCUAUAUGAGCUAACACUGUUAAUGCUGCAAAAGACUGAGGGCUUUCAUAGGUUCCAGGCAGAAAUGGCUUUACAGUCAAACAUUGCUUUGGAGGUCAAAUGUUUAAAUCCACCAUGGUUUUGAUGGCACUUCAUCAGUAGGAGUGUAAUCCUGUAUGAAGAGGGUGGCCCGCUGAACAACUGUACUUUAGGCCAAAAGUUCUUGUAGCCCUGUCUAGUAGCCCUGUCCCCAUAUUCUUUCACAUUUCUCCUAGUAGUUUAAGAUCAAUAAUAUCACUGAAAUUGAAUACUGAAUGUAAACAUUGUUAUUGAAAUACUGAUUUAGAUACAGUACUGGUCAAAAUUUUGGACACAUUACUAGUAGUCUCUUAUUAUCAUCAAGACUGCUUAAAGCCAAUUUGAUCAAAAAUACAGAAAGCACAGUAAUAUUGUGGAAUAUAACAAUUAAAAAUAAUAGUUUUCUAAAUUAAUAUACUUUAAAAUAUAAUUGUUUCCAUGAUUAAAGCUGAAUUUUCACCAACCAUUACUCCAGUCUUCACAUGAUCCUUCAGAAAUCAUUCUAUGAUGAUUUCCUGCUAUUAUCAGUAUUGGAAACAGUUGUGCUGCUUAAUAUUAUUAUUUGUUUUGUGUGAUACUUUUUCAGGAUUCAAUGAUCAAUAAAAAGUUAAAAAGAACAGCA
ensembl:lncRNA